GCCCUUUUCUGCGAUUUUUUUCCCCUUUGCAAUUCGCGAUGCUGAGCGGGAAAAGUGCGGCUGUUCCUGCUUCCAGAAUUGGAGAUUGUGAAUUUCCCUGAUUGGAGACAAAACCAAAGCCAACCAAGUACGUGCGUUGAAGCUGCGUUGAAAAGAAAAGAAAAGAAAAAGCGACCCUUUCGUGUGCUGGUCCGCUCCGCUAUCUGCACGCACUGCACCGCAACUUUGCUUGCUGUCAGUGCCGCCCAAAAUAUGCAGCAAAAAGCAACCUCAACUGGAGAAUAAUAUCCUUUUUUGUCGCACUGCGCACUGCAGACUUGGACAAUGGCAGUCGUUGGUCUGCAAGUCAGUCUAUAGUACGCAUAGUAUGCAGCACUAUACUCUUCUUUUACAUCAACUUCAAGACCACGACGAACAGCAACCUCGAUGUUUCCUGAGGCGCGAUCUGACUUUCAAGCCCGAGUUUCGCUUCUUUCGUCAAGGACUAGGAAGUCGCGAAUAGAGUGGGGUUGCCUCUACCUGGUUUUCCCUCCCUCUGUCACUGUUUUGGUUUCGUUUCCGAGUCUUCUCUCAACACUUUGUCCUUUUCCCUGUUUCUUGGCUUCCCUCUGGCGAACAAGGUGGGCCAAUGAUGAAUGGUAGUAAGGGGUGAGGUGGAUGAACAAAUGGAUGGAUGGAUGGAUGGAUGGAUGGGUGGGUGGGUGGUCCGGGACGGGUCAGGCGCUGUGAGGGAGCUUGGACCGCGUCUCGGGGUUUCGAAAGUGAGAUCCCCUCAGCUCGUCCGAUACUAGUGUCGACGAUUGACUUUCACACAAUGUGAGCGUCGGUCGGUCGCUCGGUCGGUCGGUUUGUUUGGCGUCUUGCUGGCUCACUCCAGUCUCACACGCUCUUUCUCCCGCGGCGUCGCAAAUGUCGAAUUGUUCGAGUGAGC